GACGAACGCUGGCGGCGUGCCUAAUACAUGCAAGUCGAACGCUUCCUACCGGUGCUUGCACCGGGAAAGAAGAGUGGCGGACGGGUGAGUAACACGUGGGUAACCUACCUACAAGCGGGGGAUAACAUUCGGAAACGGAUGCUAAUACCGCAUAGAUCUUUUUGUCUCCUGGCAGAAAGAAGAAAGACGGUUUCGGCUGUCACUUGUAGAUGGACCCGCGGCGCAUUAGUUAGUUGGUGAGGUAAUGGCUCACCAAGACGAUGAUGCGUAGCCGACCUGAGAGAGUGAUCGGCCACACUGGGACUGAGACACGGCCCAGACUCCUACGGAGGGCAGCAGUAGGGAAUCUUCCGCAAUGGACGAAAGUCUGACGGAGCAACGCCGCGUGAGUGAAGAAGGUUUUCGGAUCGUAAAACUCUGUUGUUAGAGAAGAACAAGGAUGAGGGUAACUGCUCGUCCCUUGACGGUAUCUAACCAGAAAGCCAUGGCUAACUACGUGCCAGCCGCCGCAGUAA
rnacentral:rRNA from 1 species